rnacentral:rRNA from 1 species
AGUGAACGCUGGCGGUAGGCCUAACACAUGCAAGUCGAACGGCAGCACAGUAAGAGCUUGCUCUUACGGGUGGCGAGUGGCGGACGGGUGAGGAAUACAUCGGAAUCUACUUUUUCGUGGGGGAUAACGUAGGGAAACUUACGCUAAUACCGCAUACGACCUACGUGUGAAAGCAGGGGAUCUUCGGACCUUGCGCGAUUGAAUGAGCCGAUGUCGGAUUAGCUAGUUGGCGGGGUAAAGGCCCACCAAGGCGACGAUCCGUAGCUGGUCUGAGAGGAUGACCAGCCACACGGGAACUGGGAAACGGUCCAGACUCCUACGGGAGGCAGCAGUGGGGAAUAUUGGACAAUGGGCGCAAGCCUGAUCCAGCCAUACCGCGUGGGUGAAGAAGGCCUUCGGGUUGUAAAGCCCUUUUGUUGGGAAAGAAAAGCAGCAGGUUAAUACCCCGCUGUUCUGACGGUACCCAAAGAAUAAGCACCGGCUAACUUCGUG